ACGUAUGGGGCGAGCGUUGUUCGGAAUUAUUGGGCGUAAAGGGCGUCUAGGCGGGGAAUUAAGUUAGGUGUGAAAGCCAUGAGCUCAACUCAUGAACUGCAUCUAAAACUGGUUCUCUUGAGUUCGGGAGAGGAGAGCGGAAUUCCCGGUGUAGCGGUGAAAUGCGUAGAUAUCGGGAAGAACACCAGUGGCGAAGGCGGCUCUCUGGCCUAGAACUGACGCUGAAGCGCGAAAGCGUGGGGAGCGAACGG
rnacentral:rRNA from 1 species